rnacentral:misc_RNA from 1 species
UAAUCACAGUGAUCGCCAUAUCACGCAGUUUCUGAUAUUCGAGGUCUGUCAAUGUUUGCGCGGGCGCGACUGUGAUUGAAUCUCCGGUAUGCACGCCCAUCGGGUCGAAGUUCUCGAUCGAGCAGAUGACGACCACGUUGUCGGCCAGAUCGCGCAUUACUUCGAGCUCGAAUUCCUUCCAACCGAGAAUCGAUUCCUCAAUCAACACUUCAUGCAUCGGUGAAGCUGCCAGGCCGGCGCGAACAAUCUCCUCGAAUUCUUCCGGGUUGAAAGCGAUACCGCCGCCGCUGCCACCGAGCGUGAAAGAUGGUCUGAUGAUCG